UACGAAGGUGGCAAGCGUUGUUCGGAUUUACUGGGCGUACAGGGAGCGUAGGCGGUUCGGUAAGCCCUCUGUGAAAUCUCCAGGCUUAACCUGGAACAGUCGGAGGGGACUGCUGGGCUAGAGGACGGGAGAGGAGCGCGGAAUUCCCCGGUGUAGAGGUGAAAUUCGUAGAUAUCGGGAGGGAACACCAGUGGCGAAGGCGAGUCCCUGGACAACUCCUGACACUGAGGCACGAAAGCUAGGGGAGCAAACAGG
rnacentral:rRNA from 1 species